rnacentral:rRNA from 1 species
CCUACGGGUGGCAGCAGUGAGGAAUAUUGGUCAAUGGACGAGAGUCUGAACCAGCCAAGUAGCGUGAAGGAUGACUGCCCUAUGGGUUGUAAACUUCUUUUAUAUGGGAAUAAAAUGUUCCACGUGUGGGAUUUUGUAUGUACCAUAUGAAUAAGGAUCGGCUAACUCAGUGCCAGCAGCCGCGGUAAUCCGGAGGAUCCGAGCGUUAUCCGGAUUUAUUGGGUUUAAAGGGAGCGUAGGUGGAUUGUUAAGUCAGUUGUGAAAGUUUGCGGCUCAACCGUAAAAUUGCAGUUGAAACUGGCAGUCUUGAGUACAGUAGAGGUGGGCGGAAUUCGUGGUGUAGCGGUGAAAUGCUUAGAUAUCACGAAGAACUCCGAUUGCGAAGGCAGUUCACUGGACUGCAACUGAAACUGAGGCUCGAAAGUGUGGGUAUCAAACAGGAUUAGAUACCCGAGUAGUC